CCAGUAUUAAUAUAUUUGGAUUCAUAAACAUAAAUCUUUUAUUCGAAAGCAAGAUGACUGUCCGAAAACCUCUCACAUUCGCUCGUAUAUAUGUUAUCUAGCAUUAAAAGCCCAUUCACAUACAACUGUCCACGCUUUGCGCGACAGUUCAUCCUGAAACAACGAAGCGCAGAAAACAAAGGGUAUGCCACAACGAAACGUUUUGUUUUCAGUGUUUCUCUCUAAUAAAAAUGGCGACUUUUGCUUGGCAAAGCGUAAAGAGAUGAGGGUUGCUCAACAUUUUGCUUGGCUUUUUUACCGAAAACUUUGUGUACGUACUCAUACAAAGGCCAUCGAGCUUUUCUUUCAAAACAAAUAUGUGACGCAAAGCGAAGUAAAAGUUCUAAGUGAAUUGGCCAUAAGCCCCCAUGGUGACUGCGCUGUGCUCCAAUAAAGAGAGAUCAGCUAUGUGCACAUAUACACACAAUUGCAGAUAACUGCCGGCUGUUAAGGCAGUUUGUUUCCAAACUUCGGAGGCGGCGGUCCGUCUGCAAACAGCUGGGAAAAAAAUUUUGAACGAAAUGUUUUAGUCGAAAAUCUAAAAUGAAAACGCGCAAAAUACAAAAACAAAAACACUAAAUACUAAAAAAUGUGUCUAGAAUGCAGAGUGCCAAACAGUGAAACUUGAAAGAAUUAUGCUUAAAAUGCACAUAAGCUGUAUAUGUGAAUUAUAUAGUGAACCGGUAUUAAAAGCAUUAAAAAAACGUUGGUACCGCAAUAUACUUGCAUAUACCUACAGUUCGAAAACUGCGAUAAAAGCAGCGAAUAAAUUGAAAAUAGAAAGAAAAUACAAAAAUUCAUACAAGUGACGAAUGGCAGCUAAGUGCCAAACACUUCCCUUGAGGCAUUCUUCCACAUCCCGCUUACUUUCGUGCUGUACGUUGUCACACCGCCAUAAUGUUUGAAAGGCUCAAACUGAUUGCGAGGUUACGUCCACACAAGUCCUCAUAUACCAAUAAGCAACACAAGUAUCUUUUAGUGGUUGACAGUUGCAAGCAUUUUAUACAGCAAAUUAUUUGAGUUGAGUGCACCAUUACGAUAUCGAAUAAAAAUGUGACGACAAACUUUGCGGAAAAAGUUUUAAGUAGCAGUAAGAAGCCAGACCAGCAAACUGACGCAAUUGGCAAUUGAAAACUCUACAGACUCACAGACAUGUGUGAGAUACGAACCCAUCAUCGACAGCGCAACUGAACCCCACGGAAGUGUUGACUGGUGUCACAUCUUUACAGUAACCAGAACAACAGAAUUAACGAAAGCAAAAUUAAUAAAAUAAAUAAUAUAAUAAUUUUGUAUAUAAAUACAUAACUAUAUACUCUUACAAUCAUUGAUGAAGAGCGGUGAAGGAACUUUGGCAAAAAUACGGGAUUUCCAUAAGAAGUCCACUUUAAGGGCACAUUUACUGUUAUGAAUGAAGAAUCGCCAAUGGAGUGCGAUUUGUAGGUAGAAUAAAAACUGCGGCUGUACGAACUCAACCACCUCGUUGAUACAGAAUUCCAUGAGGAUUGCUUGAUAUUGAAAAUGAAUAUAUACUUAAAUAAUAAAUGAAAUAGCAAAUCUUACAAAAACAUAAA